AGACUGUGAAAAGAGGCGACAAAACACUGAAGGACAACUACAGUGAAAGAGCACCGAAAGGAUAACGACUUAGCCCUCUCGGCGGAUGUCCGAUCCCUGGGCUAGAAGAAAUAGGAAUGGCUGUUCACUAAGUACAAGUCAGAGUCUUAGCCUAGCCGGUACUUCCCAGGUCAACUGAGUCAACCUGUACGGCUUUAAUAAAUGGCUUAGACUCUACUCAUUCUAAGCAAACACCACAACUUACGGUCUUUCGAUCCAAGUGUCAUAGAGAUCGAUAGGAAUCGAAAUGACUAUGAGCACGAGAAGUUCCGGUCUCUCUCAAUCCAUACGCCAUUGUAGGUUGGCGAGAGCCAAGAGAGGGUGGAACAAAGAGAAAAGAAAAGGGGAGUGGUCUACUCCUUCCAAUCCACUUGCCAUGGUAAGAGAUGGGGUAUCAGAAAGAGUGACACACAAGAACAUGAGUGCUUAAACUACUUGUAGGGUACCACGACCUACGUACACUGAAUGCACUAAGACAUUGCUAGGGUUCUUAGCAGUGCGGUUGUCACCGCAAGAACCAAAGAAAUGCUACGGUCGAAUAGGUACAAGCAUACAAGAGUUUAAGCACGAAGAAUCCAAAAAGGCAAGAAAAGACACGGGUUUCACUUUCCAUUGAUCCGCUCGCCAUAGCAACGACGGGAAUCGCGGGAUUGGAAACAAAACAUCUAACAAGAAAAAGGGGGCUUAAUCCACAUCUUACUAGAUCGACGAGGAUUAAGGACAAGAGAGAAGAAGAACAAAACCACACUCUUUCAACCAACUUGCCAUGGAACAAACGACAGUUGGAGAAAUAAACGCGACCCCACGAACUACACCAACUCAUAUCAUUUCGCGACCUAGGUGCUUCUGAAUCGGCACAAGGUCAUUUCUAUAGUUCCUGGCAAUGCGGUUGUCACCGCGGAAACUACGGAAAUGCCCGAGUCUAGGUGGCAUAAACAUAUAAGACGGAUAAGAUAAAUGCACAAGAAAAUGGGUUAAGCCCGAUGGCCAUGGCGAGGCAAACUCGCGACCAUGAGCUCCACCUACGAGUUGGCUUUCAACUGCCCCACGAGAGUUGUCCCCUAGCUCGUCUCUACAGACUAGGUCAAGAUAGGCUUGUCACGUGUGGGUAGGAAGCACACUAAUAUCAAGCCUAAGGUGACCACAUCCUAGAGCCGUUCGGGAGGGCAGCGGACAUGGCACUACGAAGUCAACUAGAACGAGAGUUCGAGCUACGUACAACAUCAUAGCCAUGGCGGGAAGAAUCCCACGACCGAAUGUUCGAACGUACCACGAUUCCCUCGACCGGCUCGAAGGCACGGUCCACAGCGACAAGAACCACACACAAACCGCAAGUACCACAACUUGACAACGAUGACAAAUUAGAGUUGCACAUUUCCAUAGCACCAAGAGAAGAUAUAGUAGACCGGCGCGAAGGCACGGCACAGGCAUAGAAUAGAUAGAUCAUGCAUCGACAAGUAUAGAUAACAAAAUGAUGUAAGAACAGAUAUAUGUCGACUAGGGUUUAGGGGGGUUUCGACCUUGCAGUUGGCAGGCUUUGGGUCACGGUCGCUGCUCGUUGUGCUAUGCUCGUCGUCGAGGCAGAAACAGGCGCACGUGUCGAUGUGGGGGCUCCCUGGAGUCGGGCGGAGGUGGCGACCGCGGCAAGGCAUGAACGUGGAUGAGGUCGAUGGAGCACCGGGUGGCGUCGCGGCUGCAGGGGUCGAAGCAGGGCGAAGCUUGACGUGGCGGGUGGCUCUGGUGCAGCGUCGUCGUGGGCAGCACGGCGUCUGUGGCUUGGAGCAGGGCACGUCCAGGUGCAGGUCGCGGUGGUCGGCUCGGAGCAGAACACGGUGAGGACACGGCGUCGCGGUGGCUCAGCUUCACGGCGAGGACGGGGCCGUGGACGCCGGACAGGGUCGCGGUUCUGCUGCUGCCGGCGUCGUGGAUGGCUCGGCGCUCGCGUUGUUGACGAGGACGCGCUCCGGGGACGAGGUCGACGCGGGGGCGACGGGGCACGAGCAUGGCGUCGUCGUGGUGGCGCAGACCGACAUCGGGGUCGCGGUCGCGGUCACCACGGUCGGCAUGGACGCAGUUUCCACGGCGCGGUGGCGGCUUGCGCACGACGGCGUCGCGGGGUCGGGGCUCGGCGCGGCGAGGGCGCGGAGCUCCUGCUCGGCGUCGCGGCGGGUUCCCGGGGUCGAGGGCGAGGGCGAGGGCGCACGGCGUCUUGGCGCGGCGAGGUCGAGGGCGCGGACGCGUCGGGGCUCGACGAGGCU
rnacentral:lncRNA from 1 species